rnacentral:lncRNA from 1 species
GUUCAGUGGGAGUGAUCAUAGCUUGCAGCAUAGAACUCCUGAGCUCAAGCUAUAUUCUUGUUUCAUCUUCCUACAGCACUGAAAUUACAGAAUCCUUGAAGGAGAACUAGGAUUACAGUUACUGUUCUUUAAGCUUAAAAUGAGCUUCAAUCAAGAGGAAGAAGGAAAAUUGCUUAAGUCAGACCCGACAGCUAAAGGCAUGCUAUACACAUUCUCUACUGAAAUCAGUGUCCUCAAAUGCCUGCGGCGUUCUAAACACACGAGCAACAAGGAGGCAUAGCCACUGACCAGAGAAGAUGAAGCACUCUGGAGAGAUCAAAGACCAUCGGGCCUGAGUGGCUGUACAAUUUCGCACUGGGGGUUCUAUUCAGCAGUCUAAAUUGCAGCUGGUCUGUCUGUCCAAAGCACAACAUGGCACACAAUUAUGUAGCAUCACUCAGCUUAGCAAAAAGCAGUUUGCAUCAAAGGAACAACAGAAUAGGAAGAGACCUAAUAUUUCUUGAAGCCUACUGUGUGCUAACUACUUGAUGUGUGGUUUUCAUAUACUCUUUGCACCAAACCUAUGAGGCAAUUUGCUCUUCAAAAAACUCCGAGUCUGUGUGGUGUUGCCUACAUUUUUCUUGGAUUUUAUUUCCCUUUCAAUGGCCUACUCUCAGUGUUGGUGUCUGAGCUUCCUCUGUGUGGAACAGAAGAUUUUUAAACCUGUAUAUUUAUAGCAAACAAUGAAUCUCUAAAUAGUUCUUCAGAUCUUGAAGUGUUCCCACUUAUUAAUUAAUUUGAGAAGGUUUUGCCAGAUCUGAGGGAGAUUUUCAUAUUUUUUCUUCUCAUAUGGCAAAGAAGUUCUCAGGCCUAUGAAUUUAUAGAAAGAAAGUGAAAUCUGGCAAGAUCAUCAGAGACUGUUUAAUUGGGAUUUUUGUGCUUCAGAAAACAAGAAAAUCAAGCUCAGAGAUGAAAUCAGGUCUUCCAAACCUCCUGAAAGGAGUCUCCCUGUUCUAUAUUCAGGAAGGCAUUGGUCACAUUGAGGUCCUUUUGGGAUUCUCUAGUUUUCAUGUUUCAGUGGUAGACAAGGGAGUGUUUGAAGCAUCAAGAGCAUUUUCAGUGUCACUAUUCUCUGUCUUAACUCUCCUGAAGCACCAACCAUGAUCAAGCUUGCAGUCUGAGUGUAAGAUGUAGAAGGAGACAGAAAUGAAAUGCAGUUACCCAAGAAAUAUUUAAAUACAAUUGUAUUAAAUACUGUGAUGGAGAGAUACAGACUACUGCGAGUGUGUAUAUAAAAACGGGGGGUCCUGAUCUGGUCAGGUGGAAUGGGGAAAGCUUCCAGGAGGAAGACAAAUUUAAGCUGAGACCUGAAGGGCGAUUAGAAAUUGUGCAACUGAGGGAGACAAUUCUAUUAAUAGCGCUAUAUCCCCUAGUGACUGGAAUGUAGGGUUUGAGACCUUGGGCUCAAAGACUGACUGCCUGAACAAAAUUCUCUCCUUUACCACACUUUUAGCUCUGUUUUCUGUGGGCAAGACACUGAAGUUUUCUGUUUCUCCAGCCCUUUGUAUGAAAUUAGGGAAUAAUACUAUUAAGGUAUUGUGCUCUUAAACCAUUAUCACACAAUUUUGAUAAUCCCAUGUGAAACUUAAAUGCAAUAAUGCAUGUAAAGCAUUUUAACAGUGCCAAACACUCAGUAAACAAUCAACAAAUAUUGGCUAUUAUUAUUGCAGGAUUCUGCAGCUUACAAAACAUUUUCAUAGGCAUCAUACAUUAUCUCAUCACCAAUGCUUUCCUAUAGUACUAGUUCUCGGGACACUUCCUCUGCUGAUGGUACUAUGAUUCUAUUUGGAGAAAAUAAGCAAAUGCUGUGAACCCCUUUUUAGCUUUAUUAGGGGCUAGGAGUAUUCUGUGGGAGAAUCGAGACAGAGCUUGGGUCUCGGAGUCCCCAAGUAUAUUCAAGAAUCCUCCUAUGUAGACUGGAAGUUUACCAAUACUUAAAAUUCUAGCAGUGUCUUAGAUGAAUAGAGGCACACAUUUAAAGGACUAGGUUACAUUAAGGAUUUUGAAAACAUGACAUUUAUGGUUUAACUGCUCCUCAGGAAUCAUGUCCUCAAACUGUUCAAUAAUGAUGUAAGAUGGGUGAACAAACAAUUUAAGCUUCACUCUAAAAUAAUCUCGGCGGGAGCACAAUAUUGUAAACAGUCAUUGCUGCAUCUCCAUUCUGUGAAGUUCCCUUUCAUUGUUGUCCAUUUAUUCCUUUAAACUAAAAGUCUUUGACCAAGUUACUUAGCAUCUUCUAACAAUUCUUAAAAGUUCUUCUAAAGAAAUUCAGCGUAAGGCGGUGUGAGCUAUUACACUGACUAUAAAGAAUGUCAUUUCUAUUGAAAAGAGCAAACUUUCCACUAAACACAUUUGACCUUCUUCUAUCUGGUAUUGUGGCUCAUCUGAGAAUAGGGAUGGUGGCUGUAUUAGUUCAUUCUCAUGCUGCUAAUAAAGACGUACCCGAGAUUGGGUAAUUUAUAAAGGAAAAGGGUUUAAUUGACUCACACAGUUCAGCA